AGAGCGAACGCUGGCGGCAGGCCUAACACAUGCAAGUCGAGCGCCCCGCAAGGGGAGCGGCAGACGGGAGAGUAACACGUGGGAACGUACCCUUCAGUUCGGAACAACCCAGGGAAACUUGGGCUAAUACCGAAUACGUCCGUAAGGAGAAAGAUUUAUCGCUGAAGGAUCGGCCCGCGUCUGAUUAGCUUGUUGGUGAGGUAACGGCUCACCAAGGCGACGAUCAGUAGCUGGUCUGAGAGGAUGAUCAGCCUCACUGGGACUGAGACACGGCCCAGACUCCUACGGGAGGCAGCAGUGGGGAAUAUUGGACAAUGGGCGCAAGCCUGAUCCAGCCAUGCCGCGUGGAUGAUGAAGGCCCUAGGGUUGUAAAGUCCUUUCGACGGGGAAGAUAAUGACGGUACCCGUAGAAGAAGCCCCGGCUAACUUCGUGCCAGCAGCCGC
rnacentral:rRNA from 1 species